UACGGGAGGCAGCAGUGGGGAAUAUUGCACAAUGGGCGCAAGCCUGAUGCAGCCACGCCGCGUGUAUGAAAAAGGCCUUCGGGUUGUAAAGUACUUUCAGUCGUGAGGAAGGUGUUAAGGUUAAUAACCUUAGCAAUUGACGUUAGCGACAGAAGAAGCACCGGCUAACUCCGUGCCAGCAGCCGCGGUAAUACGGAGGGUGCGAGCGUUAAUCGGAAUUACUGGGCGUAAAGGGCACGCAGGCGGUUAAUUAAGUUGGAUGUGAAAUCCCCGGGCUUAACCUGGGAAUGGCAUUCAAGACUGGUUAGCUAGAGUCUUGUAGAGGGGGUAGAAUUCCAUGUGUAGCGGUGAAAUGCGUAGAGAUGUGGAGGAAUACCGGUGGCGAAGGCGGCCCCUGGACAAAGACUGACGCUCAUGUGCGAAAGCGUGGGGAGCAAACAGGGAUUAGAUACC
rnacentral:rRNA from 1 species